rnacentral:rRNA from 1 species
CCUACGGGAGGCAGCAGUGAGGAAUAUUGGUCAAUGGACGCAAGUCUGAACCAGCCAUGCCGCGUGCAGGAAGACGGCUCUAUGAGUUGUAAACUGCAUUUGUACGAGGGUAAACGCAGAUACGCGUAUCUGUCUGAAAGUAUCGUACGAAUAAGGAUCGGCGAAUUCCGGGCCAGCAGCCGCGGUAAUACGGAGGAUUCAAGCGUUAACCGGAUUUAUUGGGGUUAAGGGGUGCGUAGGCGGAUCGUUAAGGCAGUGGUCAAAUGGUGGGGCUCAACCCCUUCCCGCCAUUGAAACUGGCGCUCUUGAGUGGAAGAGAAGGAUGCGGAAUGCGUGGUGUAGCGGUGAAAUGCAUAGAUAUCACGCAGAACCCCGAUUGCGAAGGCAGCAUGCCGGCUUCCGACUGACGCUGAAGCACGAAAGCGUGGGGAUCGAACAGGAUUAGAUACCCGGGUAGUC